GCUUGAGUUUGAUCCUGGCUCAGGAUGAACGCUGGCGGCGUGCCUAACACAUGCAAGUCGAGCGAAGCGGUUUGGAUGAAGUUUUCGGAUGGAUUUUGGAUUGACUGAGCGGCGGACGGGUGAGUAACGCGUGGGUAACCUGCCUCAUACAGGGGGAUAACAGUUAGAAAUGACUGCUAAUACCGCAUAAGCGCACAGUACUGCAUGGUCCGGUGUGAAAAACUCCGGUGGUAUGAGAUGGACCCGCGUCUGAUUAGGUAGUUGGUGGGGUAACGGCCUACCAAGGCGACGAUCAGUAGCCGACCUGAGAGGGUGACCGGCCACAUUGGGACUGAGACACGGCCCAAACUCCUACGGGAGGCAGCAGUGGGGAAUAUUGCACAAUGGGGGAAACCCUGAUGCAGCGACGCCGCGUGAGUGAAGAAGUAUUUCGGUAUGUAAAGCUCUAUCAGCAGGGAAGAAAAUGACGGUACCUGACUAAGAAGCCCCGGCUAACUACGUGCC
rnacentral:rRNA from 1 species